rnacentral:rRNA from 1 species
GACGAACGCUGGCGGCGUGCUUAACACAUGCAAGUCGAACGAACUCGGACUUCGGUCCUUAUGGGUGAGUGGCGAACGGGUGAGUAACACGUGAGAAACCUGCCCCGAAGUUUGGGAUAACUCAGAGAAAUUUGAGCUAAUACCGGAUGUCCUCUUUUAGCCGCAUGGUUGGUUGAGGAAAGAUUUAUCGCUUUGGGAGGGUCUCGCGUCCUAUCAGCUUGUUGGUGAGGUAAUGGCUCACCAAGGCAUCGACGGGUAGCUGGUUUGAGAGAACGAUCAGCCACACUGGAACUGAGACACGGUCCAG